rnacentral:lncRNA from 1 species
GGGCAACACACAAGUAUAAGAUUAGUGUAGACAAAUAUGUCUUAAGUACCCACCACCCAAAAGUACAAUAGAAGUUCCUUUGCCUGUCUGGAGCCUGAGGUGAGUCAGGUGAUGAGAUUUGGCUUCCUUUGGCUAACAAUCAGCUCAGCAAUUGUCACCCCUGGCCACUUCCUGGAGUCCUUUUUCAAGGGGAAAAUAGCUUUGGAAUGGAGGAAACUGGCAAGGAGUUGAUUUUAUAUUAUUUUUUAAAAGCUAGGUGACUUCCCUGAGCUGUCAAGUUGAAAGGAUACAUUCAGGCAUAAUAUUUGUAACAUUUAACAACUUUAAAGAUGUGUCUCCCCCCCCCCCGUAAUUUCCGUAACAGUGGCCAUUGCUGCUUCCUAUGGUAGCCCCAUGUAGGGGCGUGACAAGAUCCAGUCCUGGGGGGCACUGAAGAAUCUGGGGCAAGAUCCCUCUCCUCCAGAAAGGGGUGCCACCUGCACACGGGGCGGGCAUUCAGCUGCGAUGUGAGAAGUGGGUCUGGAAGGGGGCAGCCCCAAAGCAAGCGUCUCCCAGAGCCCAUCAGCGCCAGCUGGGCCUGAAAAGCGGAAGGGAGGAGGGGACAUUCUACCACAUGUGGUGGGAUUGUAAUGAAAUUAAGAAAUUUGGGAAAUGAUAUACAAUGAAUUGAAGAAAAUGUUCCAUCUAACGUUUGUCAAAAAACCUGAAGCAUUUCUGUUAGGGGUUGUAGGAAAAGACCUGCCAAGGAAGAUGAAAAAUAUCUUCAUGUAUGCGACAACGGCCGUGAGAGUCUUAAUAGCACAAGGAUGGAAAUCCCGACUAAAGAAUCAUGGCAAGAGAAAUGGAUGGACUAUGCAGAACUGGCAAAACUGACACAUAAACUACGGGACAAGGAUAACUGUGACUUUAAAGAGAAAUGGGAACCUUUUACAAAGUACCUAAAGAAGCAACAAAGUGACUUGGACUCUUUGGCAGGCUUUGAAUAAACACUGACAAACUUUU